UAAUAGCGUAUAUUAAAGUUGUUGCAGUUAAAAAGCUCGUAGUUGGAUUUCUGGUCGGAAGCUCCUGUCCUCUGAUGAGCGUACAAGUGCGUCCUACCAUCCUUCUGUUAACCUUUAAGGCUUUCGCGGCUUUCUAGGGGCUCAGAUAUUUUACCUUGAGAAAAUUAGAGUGUUUCAGGCAGGCUAGCGCCGGAAUACAUUAGCAUGGAAUAAUGGAAUAGGACUUUUGCCUCUUCUGUUGGUCAUGAGGCUCGAGUAAUGAUUAAUAGGGAUAGUUGGGGGCAUUAGUACUUAACUGUCAGAGGUGAAAUUCUCGGAUUUGUUAAAGACUAACUUAUGCGAAAGCAUUUGCCAAGGAUGUUUNCAUUAA
rnacentral:rRNA from 1 species